rnacentral:rRNA from 1 species
CCUACGGGAGGCAGCAGUGAGGAAUAUUGGUCAAUGGGCGCGAGCCUGAACCAGCCAAGUAGCGUGAAGGAUGACUGCCCUACGGGUUGUAAACUUCUUUUAUAGGGGAAUAAAAUGUGCCACGUGUGGCUUUUUGUAUGUACCUUAUGAAUAAGGAUCGGCUAACUCCGUGCCAGCAGCCGCGGUAAUACGGAGGAUCCGAGCGUUAUCCGGAUUUAUUGGGUUUAAAGGGAGCGUAGAUGGAUUGUUAAGUCAGUUGUGAAAGUUUGCGGCUCAACCGUAAAAUUGCAGUUGAAACUGGCAGUCUGGAGUACAGUAGAGGUAGGCGGAAUUCGUGGUGUAGCGGUGAAAUGCUUAGAUAUUACGAAGAACUCCGAUUGCGAAGGCAGCUUACUGGACUGCAACUGACAUUGAGGCUCGAAAGUGUGGGUAUCAAACAGGAUUAGAUACCCGUGUAGUC